rnacentral:rRNA from 1 species
AUACGUAGGGUGCGGGCGUUAAUCGGAAUUACUGGGCGUAAAGCGUGCGCAGGCGGUUUUGUAAGCCAGAUGUGAAAUCCCCGGGCUUAACCUGGGAAUGGCAUUUGGGACUGCAAGGCUGGAGUGCGGCAGAGGGGGCUGGAAUUCCUGGUGUAGCAGUGAAAUGCGUAGAUAUCAGGAGGAACACCGAUGGCGAAGGCAGGUCUCUGGGCUGACACUGACGCUCAUGCACGAAAGCGUGGGGAGCAAACAGGAUUAGAUACCCUGGUAGUCCACGCCCUAAACGAUGUCGACUGGUUGUUGGGGGUUUGACACUCUCAGUAACGAAGCUAACGCGUGAAGUCGACCGCCAGGGGAGUACGGCCGCAAGGUUAAAACUUAAAUGAAUUGGCGGGG